ACGAAGGGUGCAAGUGUUACUCGGAAUUACUGGGCGUAAAGCGUGCGUAGGUGGUUCGUUAAGUCUGAUGUGAAAGCCCUGGGCUCAACCUGGGAAUGGCAUUGGAUACUGGCGACCUAGAGUGCGGUAGAGGGUAGCGGAAUUCCCGGUGUAGCAGUGAAAUGCGUAGAUAUCGGGAGGAACAUCCGUGGCGAAGGCGGCUUUCUGGUCCGCAACUGACGCUCAUACGCGAAGGCUAGGGGAGCAAACAGGA
rnacentral:rRNA from 1 species